CCAGAACGAGAUGGGACGUAGUAACUCCACCUUACUUCUGAUUACUGAGUCUGCUGUUGAUAGAACAACAAUGAUAAUUCACAUCACCAGGUGGCCUCUGCUGGUUGUGAUGCUGAUUCUUCUGCUUCUCUUUUGUCUGUGGACGAGGAAGAAGAAAGCUGUGAGCUCCACCACUGAACCACAUGAGUCCAGAGAGGCUGUGGAGGUGAGACAUUUGUCCUCAGAGACAGAACUCACCAAAGGGUCAUCGUCUGUUGUUAUUAAGUCAUGAAGAUAAUUCAGAAGUAACUUCAUCACUAACAUCUUUCUCCUUUUGAACCACCAAUAUUUAUUUACCACGUUUACUGCAAAUGUCCUUUGAAUCCGAAGAGCGAUUUAAAGGACAAAGAGU